rnacentral:rRNA from 1 species
CGCGGCCUAUCAGCUUGUUGGUGAGGUAAUGGCUCACCAAGGCGUCGACGGGUAGCCGGCCUGAGAGGGUGACCGGCCACACUGGGACUGAGACACGGCCCAGACUCCUACGGGAGGCAGCAGUGGGGAAUAUUGCACAAUGGGCGGAAGCCUGAUGCAGCAACGCCGCGUGAGGGAUGACGGCCUUCGGGUUGUAAACCUCUUUUAGCAGGGAAGAAGCGAGAGUGACGAUACCUGCAGAAAAAGCGCCGGCUAACUACGUGCCAUCAGCCGCGGUAAUACGUAGGGCGCAAGCGUUAUCCGGAAUUAUUGGGCGUAAAGAGCUCGUAGGUGGUUUGUCGCGUCUGCUGUGAAAUCCCGAGGCUCAACCUCGGGCCUGCAGUGGGUACGGGCAGACUAGAGUGCGGUAGGGGAGAUUGGAAUUCCUGGUGUAGCGGUGGAAUGCGCAGAUAUCAGGAGGAACACCAAUGGCGAAGGCAGAUCUCUGGGCCGUAACUGACGCUGAGGAGCGAAAGCGUGGGGAGCGAACAGGAUUAGAUACCCUGGUAGUCCACGCCGUAAACGGUGGGAACUAGAUGUGGGGUCCGUUCCACGGAUUCCGUGUCGCAGCUAACGCAUUAAGUUCCCCGCCUGGGGAGUACGG